rnacentral:rRNA from 1 species
AUUAAAACACCAGUUCUUAUACAAUCACUGAAGUUAAGCAACACCGAGCUUGAUUAAUACCUAGAUGGGUGACAGCUUGGGAAUAACAGGUGUUGUAAG